UACGUAGGGGGCAAGCGUUGUCCGGAUUUAUUGGGCGUAAAGAGCGUGUAGGCGGCUAGAUAGGUCCGUUGUGAAAACUCGAGGCUCAACCUCGAGACGCCGAUGGAAACCACUUGGCUAGAGUCCGGAAGAGGAGAGUGGAGUUCCUGGUGUAGCGGUGAAAUGCGCAGAUAUCAGGAAGAACACCCGUGGCUAAGGCGGCUCUCUAGUACGGUACUGACGCUGAGACGCGAAAGCGUGGGGAGCGAACAGG
rnacentral:rRNA from 1 species